AGUGAACGCUGGCGGCAUGCCUAACACAUGCAAGUCGAACGGCAGCACAGUAAGAGCUUGCUCUUACGGGUGGCGAGUGGCGGACGGGUGAGGAAUACAUCGGAAUCUACUUUUUCGUGGGGGACAACGUAGGGAAACUUACGCUAAUACCGCAUACGACCUACGGGUGAAAGCAGGGGAUCUUCGGACCUUUCGCGAUUGAAUGAGCCGAUGUCGGAUUAGCUAGUUGGCUGGGUAAGGGCCCACCAAGGCGACGAUCCGUAGCUGGUCUGAGAGGAUGAUCGGCCACACUGGAACUGAGACACGGUCCAGACUCCUACGGGAGGCAGCAGUGGGGAAUAUUGGGCAAUGGGCGAAAGCCUGAUCCAGCCAUACCGCGUGGGUGAAGAAGGCCUUCGGGUUGUAAAGCCCUUUUGUUGGGAAAGAAAAGCAGCAGGUUAAUACCCCGCUGUUCUGACGGUACCCAAAGAAUAAGCACCGGCUAACUUCGUG
rnacentral:rRNA from 1 species